UUACAGCCAUAUCACAUUGAAACACCAGUUGCUAUAUGAUCACUGAAGUUAAGCAACAUCAAACCUGGUCAGGACUUAGAUGGGUGAUUGCUUGGGAAUACCAGGUGCUGUAUG
rnacentral:rRNA from 1 species